CGCGCCGCGCCGCGCCGCGCCCCCGCGGAGCCCGACCCGCCACGCUCCACUGUGCUUCCGCGCCCUUCCCGGUUCUCUGAGGACGCCAGACACAGCAUGGGAGCCUCCAGCUUUCACAUAGUGGAUGAGCGGGGACACUAAGUUUGCACAGAGUUCCUGGGUGGUGCAAACGGUUAACAUGCUCGGCUGCUAACUGAAAACUUGGAGGUGUGAGUCUCCCCAGAGGCACCUUGAAAGAAAGGCCUGGUGACCUACUUCUGAAAAAUCAACCACUGAAAACCCUGUGGAGCACAGGUCUACUCUGACACAAUUGGGGUUGCCUUCUUGGGACUUGAGCUAUCAGCUUGCCUGCCAAUGUUGGGUUCUUCACAGCCUGUGAGCAACAGCCUUGCUGUCCAACCCACUGAUCUUGAGUUCACCAGCCUCUGCGACUACAUGAAUGCGGAGAAGCCCCUAUUCUGAUCCCUGGACUUGGAAUGUUCCAGCCUCUACAAUUGUAUCGCUGCUGUCAGACUGGGUGACGGACAGCUGCAGAAAUGCCUGUGAGACCCAGCUUGUCCUUCCUCUUUGCUAUUCUGCAUCUUGCCUCUCUUGCCACCUGCUGGUCCUGCUGUCCAAUAGCAGCCCAAGAUCCACUAGUGGAUGUUUGACUGUAGAUCUCAGAGGUAUUAACUACACAAAGAUAACCAUUUCCUCAGAGGUAGCAAUUUUGAGAAACCACUCCAUGAGGUUAUCCUACUUUGAUAACCACUUGUGCUUGGUUUCAUAGAUUUCCCUGUCAGCUCCAAUUUGUCCACCUAUUCUAGUGCUUCAUUUUACUUGGAUACAUAGUCAACAGCUGUGGAAGCAGCAGUCAGGAGAUCAAACAAUGUAUUGCAUUGGGCAAAUCUGCUGCAAAAGGCCUCUUUAAAGUGUUAAAAAGCAAAGAUGUCACUUUGAGGACUAAGCUAUCCUGAGUCACUGUAUGGCAUUUUCAGUCACCCAAUGUGCAUGUGAAAGCUCGACAGUGAGUAGGGAAGACCAAAGAAGAGUUGAUGCCUUUGAAUUAUGGUGUUAGUGAAGAAUAUUGAAUGUACCAUGGACUGCCAGAAGAAUGAACAAAUCUGUCUUGGAAGAAGUCCAGCCAGAAUGCUCCUUGGAAGAGAGGAUGGUGAGACUUCGCCUCAUGUGCUUUGGACAUGUUAUCAGGAAGGACCAGUCCUUGGGGAAGGACAUCAUGCUUGGUAAAGUAGAGGGUCAUCGAAAAAGAGGAAGAUCCUUAACAAGAUGGAUUGACACAGUGGUUGCAACAAUGGGCUCAAGUGUAGCAACGAUUGCAAGGAUGGUGCAGAAUCAGGCAGUGUUUCAUUUUGUUGUACACAGGGUCACUAUGAGUCGGAACCGACUCGACGGCACCUAACAACAGCUUACCAGUGCUUCAGUUGAGUGCCUAUUUCUCUGAUCCUCUGACUCUUCCUUCUAGACCUUUGCUUUUCCAAUUUUUCUUAUAUCUGUGUUAAGUCCAAUUCCUGUAGUAACUCCCUUAUUAUCAUAAUACAGUGGCUCUGUUUUCCAACUGAUACACUUGGAAUCUUUGGAUCUUACUUCUCUGCUAUCUUUGUUGCUUCAACAGUAUUUUACUUCUUGGUUGCAAAGUAGGAAACAAGGGCAUCAACCCCAAAAAUAUCUUUCUUCUCAUAUCCCUCUCUUCUUUUAGGGAGGAAAAUUAAAAUCCCUCUUAAAUCUCAUCAGUUAGAAGAAGGUUAUGUGCCUUCCCCUGGUCACUGGCAAAGGGGCUGGAUUGCCAUAAUUGGUUUAGACCAGAAGUCCUGUUCCCUGGCUGUACAUCAGGAUAAUAUGGAAAACUUUUAAAACAUACUUCCUCCUGAGCACAGUCUGCAGAGUUUUUGAUAUAAUUGCUCUGGGGUGGUAUCCAAUAUUUGUAAAAUUCUUUCACAGGGAUUAUAAUGUGCAGCAGGGUUGAGAACCACUGUUUGGAUCCACCUCAACUCAUUCUGUAGAGCUGUUGCACACUGAACAAGAACUUGCCUGAACAAAAUCAUUUUGCCUGAAGAAAAUCAGGGUUCUCUAACAAGAAAGAAGGACGGGCAAUCAAGAGUCUUAAGAUAUUUUUGAUCCAUCCAAAUUAUCUAACAGAAGGAUUGUCUACAGAAUGCAUAGAACUAUGAAUAAAAUUCCCACCUGGAUUGUGUCAUAUACAGCUCUAAGCAUUACUAGAUUCUGUCUUUUGAUGUAUUUUUUCAAUUUUGACUAACUCUAGGAGUGAUGAUAGAACCGCUGUUCUCCCAUUUCUUAGUUAUUUGAGGUAAAGCCUUCUGAAUACACCACCAAGCCAUAUUGCACGGACUCAAGAAACAAUUCUUUGUGGGGCACAUAAUUUUUUUUUUUUUUUUACAUUUUUUAAAAUUUUUAUUGUGUUAAAGUUUACAAAUCAAGUCAGUCUCACACAAAAACCCAUAUACACCUUGCUACACACUCCCAAUUUCGCUCCCCUAAUGAGACAGCCCACUCCCUCCCUCCACUCUCUCUUUUUGUGCCCAUUUCGCCAGCUUCUAACCCCCUCUACCCUCUCAUCUCCCCUCCAGGUAGGAGAUGCCAACAUAGUCUCAAGUGUCCACCUGAUCCAAGAAGCUCACUCCUCACCAGCAUCCCUCUCCAACCCAUUGUCCAGUCAAGUCGCUGGCUUUGGGAAUAGUUCCUGUCCUAGGCCAACAGAAGGUUGUCCUUCUAGUCUCAUUCAGACCAUUAAGUCUGGUCUUUUUACGAUGUGGGGCACAUAAAAUUUUUAAAAAGCUAAGUAAACAUACAAUUAUGACUUACUAAUUCAAGAAAUAAAACAUCCCUUAUCCAGAGAAAUCUUCAGUGUUUUCCUUAAAUUUCACCUAUUUGUGUCAAGGAAUCAAACCAAUAUUCGAGGACACAUAUUCUAGUUACAUAAACCACAGAGAGCAAAAGAAAUUCUAAGAUUGACAUUGAUGAGAAUAUUCAAGUCUAGCUGUAUUUUUGACAAAAAAUGCUUUUGCUAGGAGUUGCAGAAAGGAAAACAAAAUGAAAAUCACAACUUUGAAUAUAAGGGAUGCAUGUUCCAAUAUACAGGUUACUUGAAAAAAAGGAAAUAAUUGAGGACCUUGGUCUUAGGACCUAAUCCAGCCAUUAAGAUAUUAGUCAUUGGGAGGCACACUGAAGAGGUCUACCAAAUCUAAAUCAUUGGACUAUGUACGUAUUGCUCUGUGGGAGAAAGAUGUGGCAGUCUGCUUCCAUAAAGAUUUACAGCCUUGGAAACCCUAUGAGGCAGUUCUACUCUGUCCUAUAAUGUCACUAUGAGUCAGAAUCGACUUGACAGCGUGGGUUUGGUUUUGGUUUGGUUUAUAUACCAAUACCCUUGCGCUCAUUAGUUUCACAGCUUUUGAUAGACCAGUUCUCCCAGGUUUGGCAAGCAAAGUUCACCUUGUUUAAAGGAAAUCCUGUUUAAUUGGUGCCUGAAAAUAGGAGAAUCUGCAGGGUGUGCUUCACUUGAGCAACAGGUUUGCUUUAUCUUACAGAAAGAAUAUUGUUUAAAAUUUUAUUUAUUUAUAAUAAUUAAUAUAGUCAUAUAAUUCAAAAUUUAAAAGGAACAAAACAAUAGUAGUAAAUCUUUCUGCCUGUAUUCCAUAUUCUUCCAGAUUUAAUAAAUAUAUAUCUCGCAUCAUUUUGUUUUUUAUUUUCACCCAAAUGAUAGACUAGGGUUUAUGCAAUGCACUGCACCUUGUUUUUGUCUUAAAAAAUAUAUCUUGACCACUAAUGACUGCCCUGACAGGGAACCCAAGAGAGAAUACCUGAUGGAGCAGGAGAACAGUGGGAUGCAGACCUCAGAUUCUUAUAAGAAAACCAGACUUAAUGGUCUGACUGAGACUGGAGGGGACCCAGAGGUCAUGGCCCCCCGACCCUCUGUUAGCCUGAAACUGGAACUAUUCCCGAAGCCAACUCUUUAGACAAGGGUUGGACUGGACUGUAAGACAGAAAAUGAUACUGGUGAGGAGUGUGCUUUUUGGUUCAAGUAGACCCAUUGAGACUAUGUGGGCAGCUCCUGUCUGGAGAUGAGAUGAAGAGGCAGAGGGGGACAGGAGGUGGUUGAAUGGACAUGGGAAAUACAGAGUGGAGAGGAAGAGUGUGCUGUCUUAUUAGGGGGAGAGCAGCUAGGGGUACAUAGCAAGGCGUAUAUAAGUUUUUAUAUGAGAGACUGACUUGAUUUGUAAACUUCCACUUAAAGCACAAUAAAUGAAAACAAUAAAUAUAUCCAGGAUAUCAAAAAACCCUCUUGGAACUGACCCUGUUAGUUUUUCCCUGCCUUCUAUGAAGCUUAAUGAAAAAUGUGUUGAUUGAAGUUUUCUUGUAUUGUUAGGGGCAGUCAAGUCAAUUCCAACUCAUAGCAACCCUAUGUAUAACAGAACAAAACACUGCCUGAUCCUGCACCAUCCUCACAAUCCUUGCUAUUUUUGAGCCCAUUGUUGCAGCCACUGUGUCAAUCAAUCUUGUUGAGGGUCUCCCUCUUUUUUGCUGACCCUUUACUUUACCAAGCAUGAUGUCUUCUCCGGGGACUGAUCCCUCCUAAUAUUGUGUCCAAAGUAUGUGAGAGGAAGUCUCCCCAUCCUUACUUCUAAGAAGCAUUCUGUCUAUACUUCCUCCAAGACAGAUAUGUUUGUUCUUUUGGCAGUCCAUUGUAUAUUCAAUAUUCUUCUUCACCAACACCGUAAUUAAAAGAUAUCAAUUCUCCCAUCUUCCUUAUUCAUUGUCCAGCUUUCACAUGCAAAUGAGACCAUUGAAAAUAUCAUAGCUUGGGUCAGGCAGGCACACCUUAGUCCUCAAAGUGACAUCUUUGCUUUUUAACACUUUAAGGAGGUGUUUUGCAGCAGAUUUGCCCAACACAAUACUACAUUUGAUUUCUUGACUGCUGCUUUAAUAGAUGUUGAUUGUGGAUCCAAAUAAAAUUGAAAUUCUUGACAACAUCAGUAUUUUCUCCAUUUAUCAUGAUAUUGCUUAUUGGUCCAGUUGUGAGGAUUUUUCUUUUCUUUAUGUUGAGGUAUAAUCUGUACUAUAAAGGCUGUGGUCUUUGAUCUUCAUCAGUGUUUCAAGUCCUCUUCACUUUCUGCAAGCAAGGUUGUGUCAUCUGCCUAUCACAGGUUGUUAAUGAGUCUUUCUCCAGUCCUGUUGCCACGUUCUUCUUCAUAAAGUCCAGCUUCUCAGAUUAUUUGCUCAGCAUAGAGAUUGAAUAAGUAUGGUGAAAGGAUACAACUCUGAUGCACACUUUACAGAUUUUUAACUACACUGUUUCCCCUUGUUCUUUUUUGAACAACUCUCUCUUGGUCUAUGUACAGGUUCCUCAUGAGCACAGUUAAGUGGACUGGAAUACCCGUUCUUCCCAGUGUUAUUCAUAAUGUGUUAUGAUCCACACAGUGAAAUGCGUUUGCAUAGUCAACUAAAACACAGGUAAACAUCUUUCUGGUACUCUCUGCUUUCAGCCAAGAUCCAUCUAACAUCAGCAAUGGUAUCCCUUGUUCCACGUCCUCUUUUGAAUCCAGCUUGAAUUUCUGGCAGCUCCCUGUUGAUAUACUGCUGCAAACAUUUUUUUAAUUAUCUUCAGCAAAAUUUUACUUGUGUGUGAUAGUAAUGAUACUGUUCAAUAUUUUCCGCAUUCUGUUGGAUCACCUUUCUUUGGAAUGGGCACAAAUAUGGAUCUCUUCCUGUUGGUUGGCUAGGUAGCUGUCUUCCAAAUUUCUUGGCAUAGGUGAGUGAGCACCUACAGCACUGCAUCCAUUUGUUAAAGCAUCCCAAGUAGUAUUCUGUCAAUUCCUGGAGCCUUGUUUUUCACCAGUACCUUCACUGCAGCUUGGACUUCUUCCUUCAAUACCAUUGGCUCUUGAUCAUAUGCUACCUCCUAAAAUGGUUGAACAUUGACCCAUUCUUUUUGGCACAGUGACUCUGUGUAUUCUUUCCGUCUUCUUUUGGUGCUCCCUGCAUGGUUCAAUAUUUUGCCCAUAGAAUCCUUCAGUAUUGCAACUGGAGGCUUGAGUUUUUUCUUCAGUUCUUUCAGCUUGAGAAGUGCUGAGCGUGUUCUUCCCUUUUGGUUUUCUAACUUCAGGUUUUUGCACAUGUCAUUAUAACACUUUACUUUGUCUUCUCAAGCUGCCCUUUGAAAUCUUCCACUCAGCUCUUUUACUUCAUCCUUUCUGCCAUACACACACUGAAUAACAUUAUGAAUAGCAGUCAAACAUUGUUUAAUAUAGUGCAGGAAGAAGAUUCAAGUCAAUCAAGGUUUAAGUGCCUUUGGUAUGCAAUUUACCAAAUUAUACCUGGCUUCAUUUUUUUGGAUGUUACAAAGCUGACAGAAUACUUGGAAAAAAAUACAUGAUAACUUAGGAGUGUUAGAAAGAUGUCUGUAAGUGUGGAGUGUAGAAUUGGAGACAGAAUAAUAGUUGAAACUACCCAUUGGGAACUGGAAUUUGGCCAUGGAAGAAAGGCAGUACAUAUGUAUGAUAAAACAAACAAACCUAAACCUGUUACUGUUGAGCCAAUUCCAACUCAUGCUGGCGACCCUAUAGGAGAGAGUCGAACUGCCCCAUAGAGUUUCCAAGGAGCAGCUGGUGAAUUUGAACUAACAACCUUUUGGUUACCAGCCUGAGCUCUUAACCACCAUGGCUUCAUGUAUAAUAGAGAGGUUAAUUAAAAUUCUUAUAGUUCUGAAUUUGAAUUGGAAGUAUCAGUAUGAUUUUGUGCAUUACGUUAUCUUUUCACCAAAGAAAAAAAAAGUAUUUCUUAGCUCUGUCCACUGAAAAGGCAUGAAAACAGUGACCAACCCUGUAGCAAUAAGCACCCAAGCACACAGAUUGUGGUUGUUAAAUACCAUUUCCACAUAAAAGUUUUGUUCUUAGUCCAUAAAACAUUGAAUCAAUGAGGUAGCUAGCUUCUUAGAUGGCCCCUGAAGAUCCUUGCCUCCAAGUAUUCACACCUUUCUGUUUUACUCCCCUAUAUUGUAUCAGGAUUGAUCUGUGUGGUCAAUAGAAAAUGGCAGAAGUGAUAUUAUGUCACUUCUGAAGUUAAGUUAUAAAAGACUUCAGCUUCCAUCUUGGGCUUUCACUCUGGGGGAAGCAAGCUGCCACAUCUUGAGGACAUUCAAGCAGCUUAUGAACAGGCCAAUGUGGGGAAAACAAACAAACAAAAAAAAAAUAGCAACAACGGCAAAAAACAAGGCCUCUGGCUACAGCCAGUGAGGAACUAAGCUCCACCAACAGCUACGUGAAUAAGCUUGCAAACAGACCUCCAGCCUUCAGAUGACUACAGCCUUGGCCAACAGCUUGCCUGUAACUUCCUCAGAGACCCUGAGCCAGUACCACUCAGCUAAGCUGUUUCUGGAUUCCUGACUGUCUUGGUCAUCUAGUGCUGCUAUUACAGAAAUACCACAAGUAGAUGGCUUUAACAAAGAGAAGUUUAUUCUCUUACGGUCCAGUAGGCUAGAGGUCUGAAUUCAGUGUGCUGGCUCCAGGGGAAGGCUUUCUCUCUCUGUCGGCUCUGGAGGAAGGCCCUUAUCGUCAGUCUUCUCUUGGUCUGAGAGCAUCUCAGCAUAGGAACCUCAGGUCCAAAGGACAUGCUCUGCUCCUGGCACUGCUUUCUUGGUGGUAUGAGAUCCCGAUGUCUCUCUAUUUGCUUCUCUCUUUUAUAACUCAAAAGAGAUUGGCUUCAGAUACUAUCUAAUCUUGUAGAUCUCAUUAAUAUAACUGCCACUAAUCCAUCUGUCGUGGAUUGAAUUAUGUCCCCCCAAAAAUAUGUGUAUCAGCUUGGUUAGGCCAUGAUUCCCAGUAUUGUGUGGUUGUCCUCCAUUUUGUGAUUGUAACUUUAUGUUGAGAGGAUUAGGGUGGGGUUGUAACACCACCCUUACUCAGGUCACCUCCCUGAUCCAAUGUAAAGGGAGUUUCCCUGGGGUGUGGCCUGCACCACCUUUUAUCUCUCAAGAGAUAAAAGGAAAGGGAAGCAAGUUGAGAGUGGGGGACCUCAUACCACCAAGAAAGAAGCACUGAGAGCCCAGUACAUCCUUUAGACCUGGCAUUCCUAUGCAGAGAAGCUCUUAGUCUAGAGGAAGAUUGACGAGAAAGACCUUCCUUCAGAGCUGAUGGAGAGAGAGCCUUCCCCUGGAACUGAUGCCCUGAAUUUGGACUUUUAGCCUACUGGACUGUGAGAGAAUAAACUUCUCUUUGUUAAAGCCAUCCACUUGAGGUAUUUCUGUUAUAACAGUGCUAGAUGACUAAGACACCAUCUUAUUAACAUCACAGUGAUAGGAUUUACAACACAUAGGAAAAUCUCAUCAAAUGACCAAAUGGUGGACAAUCACACAAUACUGGGAAUCAUGGCCUAACCAAGUUAACCGAUAUUUUUGGGGGACACAAUUCAAUCCGUGACACUGACCCACAGAAAACGUGAGAUAAAUGUUUGUCAUUUUAAGUUGUUAAGUCUGGUAGUUGUUUGUUAUGCAGCAGUAGAUAACCUAUACAACAAUACAAGUAUUGUUUUGUCUCCAACUUUCCAAAAGUAUUACUUCAAAGCUACUUGUAUCAAAAGUGAAAGUAGAGAAAAGGACUUCAACAAAGCAAGUUAUUAAGUACUUUCAUUUCUGUUGUGAUAAAUUUGCUAGCAAUACUUGUAAUAUGUUACAAAUACUUGGAGAUAAUGACACCAUAUAGCGUUAGCAAAUCCAAAGUUACUAAGACUAGUUUUGUCUAAAUUGUAUAGUGAUAAAAGAUUUAAUUUUCUAAGAAAUAUAAAAAAAUAAGUCAAAGAACCAGUCUGCUUUUAUUGUACUGUCAGUGUUGUUAGACAUAAGUUAUAAUAGGCAUUUUGCACCCAUCAAGUGGUGGAAUUAAUGGUUAGAAUCCUUUUACAAAUAGAAAUUGCUGGUAAAUUUUAGAUCCAUGACAAGGAACAACCUGAUUUGUAUGUGCAGCCAGUCAAGCAACUUAAUGCCAAGCCUAAUAUUUGGAAGUUCACCUAGUUGAGUAAUUGCUGUUUGAGUUGCAUUUCUGUGAUGGUAUCAUGGAUUGAAUAACGUCCCCCCAAAAAUAUGUGUAUCAGUUUGGCUGGGCUAUGAUUCCUGGUAUUUGUGAUUUUCCUAUAUGUUGUAAAUCCUGCCUCUAUGAUGUUAAUGAAGGAGGAUGGGUGGCCAUUCUGUUAGUGAAGCAGGACUCAGUCUACAAGAUUGGAUUGUUUCUUGAGCCGAUCUCUCGAGAUAUGAAAGAGAAGCAAGCAGAAAGACAGGGGGACCUCAUACCACCAAGAAAGAAGCAAUGCUGGGAGUAGAGCAUGUCCUUUGGACCUGGGGUCCCUGUGCCCAGAAGCUUCUGGUCUGGUGAAACAUUGAUGAGAAGGCUGACAGAGAGAAUACUUUCCCCUGGAGCUGAGGCCCUGAAUUUAGACUUUUAGUCUACUUUACUGUGAGGAAAUAAAUUUCUCUUCGUUAAAGCUAUCCACUUGUAUUUCUGUUAUAGCAGCACUAGAUGACUAAGACAGAUGGGUUUGAGUUUUCAGAUGCACUGAUGAGUACUAUCAAACCUGGAAUUAUUAUUUUUAUGCACAGCAUAUUAUGCAUAACUACAGCUAUGAUUUAAUUAAUGUCUAAAUAUUUGCUUUCUUUGACUUUGUGUUUUGAUGGCAUCCAAUUGAUAGCUACCCAUGAAAAUUAUUUGGAUAUACAUUUCAAGAUCUAUCCUGAAAUACAACAUUGUCAGUGAUAGGAUAAUAUCCAUUUGUCUACAAGGAAGACCAGUUAAUAUGAUUAUUAUUCACAUUUACCCAGGAACCACUAAGGCCACAGGUGAAGAAACUGAAGAUUUUUAUCAGCUUCUGCAGUCUGAAAUUGAUCAAACAUGCAAUCAGGGUGCAUUGAUAAUUACUGGUGAUUGCAAUGUGAAAGUUGGAAACAAGAAGGAUCGGUAGUUGGGAAAUAUGGCCUUGGUGAUAGAAACAAUGCCAGAGAUCAAAUGAUAUAAUUUUGCAAGAUCAACAACUACUUCAUUACAAAUACCUUUUUUCACCAAUAUAAACGACCUUGCCAGAUGGAAUACACAGGAAUCAAAUUGACAAUAUCUGUGGAAAGAGACAAUAGAAAAGUUCAAUAUCAUCAGUCAAAACAAGGCCAGGGGCCGACUGGAACAGACCAUCAGUUGCUCCUAUGCAAGUUCAAGUUGAAACUGAAGAAAAUUGGAGCAAGUCCACGAGAGCCAACAUAUGACCUUGAGUAUAUCCCACCUGAAUUUAGAGACCAUCUCAAGAAUAGAUUUGACACGUUGAACACUAAUGACCAAAGACCAGACAAGUUGUGGAGUGACAUCAAGAGCAUCAUACACGAAGAAAGCAAGAGGUCAUUGAAAAGACAGGAAAGAAAGAAAUGACCAAGAUGGAUGUCAGAGGAGACCCUGAAACUUGCUCUCAGAUGUCAAGCAGCUAAAGCAAAAGGAAGAAAUGAUGAAGUAAAAGAGGUGAACAGAAGAUUUCAAAGGAUGGCUCGAGAAGACAAAGUAAUGUAUUAUAAUGACAUGUGCAAAGAGCUGGAGAUAGAAAAACAAAAGGGAAGAACACACUCAGCGUUUCUCAAGCUGAAGAAACUGAAGAAAAAAUUCAAGCCUUGAGUUGCGGUAGUGAAGGAUUCUAUGAGGAAAAUGUUAAAUGACCCAGGAACCAUCAAAAGAAGAUGGAAGGAAUACACAGAGUCAUUAUACCAGAAAGAAUUAGUCGACGUUCAACCAUUUCAUGAGGUAAUGUGUGAUCAGGAAGCGAUGGUACUGAAGGAAGAAGUCCAAGCUGCAAUGAAGGCAUGGCAAAAAUCAAGGCUCCAGGAAUUGACAGAAUAUCAGUUGAGGUGUUUCAACAAACGGAUGCAGCACUGGAAGUGCUCACUCGUUUAUGCAAAGAAAUUUGGAAGACAGCUUCCUGGCCAGCCCACUGGAAGAGAUCCAUAUUUAUGCCUAUUCCCAAGAAAGGUGAUCCAACAGAAUGUGGAAAUUAUCAAACAAUAUCAUUUAUAUCACACACAAGCAAAAUUUUGCUGAAGAUCAUUCAAAGCGGCUGCAGCAGUAUAUUGACAGGAAACUGCCAGAAAUUCAGGCUGGUUUCAGAAGAGGACGUAGAACCAGGGAUAUCAUUGCUGAUGUCAGAUGGAUCCUGGCUGAAAGCAGAGACUACCAGAAGGAUAUUUACCUGUGUUUUAUUGACUAUGCAAAGGCAUUCGACUGUGUUGAUCAUAACAAAUUAUGGAUAAUAUUGCAAAGAAUGGAAAUUCCAGAACACUUAAUCAUGCCCAUGAGGAGACUGUACGUAGAUCAAGAGGCAGUUAUUUGGACAGAACAAGGGGAUACUGAGUGAUUUAAAGUCAGGAAAGGUGCGUGUCAGGGUUGUAUCCUUUCACCAUACCUAUUCAUGAGCAGAUAAUGCUGAGCAGAUAAUCCAAGAAGCUGGACUACAUAAAGAAUAACUGGGCAUCAGGACUGGAGGAAGACUCAUUAACAACCUGCAUUAUGCAGAUGACACAACCUUGCUUGCUGAAAGUGAAGAGGACUUGAAGCACUUACUGAUGAAGGUCAAAGAGCACAGUCUCCGGUAUGGAUUACAUUUCAACAUAAAACAAAAAUCCUCCACCUGGGCCAAUAAGCAACAUGAUGGAUAAACAGAGAAAAAAUUGAAGUUGUCAAGCAUUUAAUUUGACUUGGCUCCACAAUCAACAGCCAUGGAAGCAGCAGUCAAGAAAUCAAAAGACACAUUGCAUUGAGCAAGUCUGCUGCAAGGGACCUCUUUAAAGUGUUGAAAAGCAAAGAUGUCACCUUGAAGACUAAGGUGCGACUGACCCAAGCCAUGGUAUUUUCAAUCGCAUCAUAUGCAUGUGAAAGCUGGACAAUCAAUAAGGAAUACUGAAGAAGAAUUGAUGCCUUUGAAUUGUGGUGUUGGCGAAGAAUAUUGAAUAUACCAUGGACUGCCAAAAGAAGGAACAAAUCUGUCUUGGAAGAAGUACAACCAGAAUGUUCCUUAGAAGUAAGGAUGGCGAGACUGUGUCUUACACACUUUGGACAUGUUGUCAGGAGGGAUCAGUCCCUGGAGAAGGACAUCAUGCUUUGUAAAGUACAGGGUCAGCGGAAAAGAGGAAGACCCUCAAGGAGAUAGACUGUCACAGUGGCUGUGACAGUGGACUCAAGCAUAACAACGAUUGUGAGGACGGCGUAGGACCAGGCAGUGUUUUGUUCUGUUGUACGUAGGGUCGCUAUGAGUUGGAACCGACUUCAUGGCACCUAACAACAACAACAACAUACCUUUGCAGCAGGGGCAUUUUAAUAUUUCUUUUGCAAUUCAGAAGCUUUAGGGAGUGAUUAUUUUGGUUUAUAUACAUGUGUUUUUAUUACACUAUACCUAGCAGUUCAACUUUAAAAUUUGACCUACUAGUCCAGGUUCCAUAAAGGCAAGAACCAAGUUUGUCUUCACCAUUUUGUCUGCAGUGCCCGAUACAUGGUUGUCAUGAAUUGAAUUGUGUCCCCCCAAAAAAUGUGUGUAUCAGUUUGGCUGGGCCAUGAUUCCUGGUAUUGUGUAACUGUCCACGAUUUUGUCUUCUGAUGUGAUCUUCCUAUGUGUUAUAAAUCCUGUCUCUGUGAUGUUUAUGAGGAGAAUGGGAGGCAGUUGUAUUGAUGAGCCAGGACUCAGUCUACUGGAUUGGAUUGUGUCUUGAGCCUGUUUCUUUUGGGAUAUGAAAGAAAGAAGU